CUCUUUGCGCUUGGGGCAAUGACGCAGCUAGUGAGGUUCUAACCGAGGCGCGUCUAUUGCUGGUUGAAAACUAUUUCCAAACCCCCUCUUAGGCCUGGGUUCAGCCCUGGCCUUUGAGAAUUUCUGGAAGGGCUCCCAUUUUUGGGUAAAGCC